rnacentral:rRNA from 1 species
AUGCCAUCAACCCUGCUGGUAGAACAGUUGUUGGGUCACAUAGUGCCCCAUCCCCAUUCUGCCAUGAGAAUAUUGUGCCAUUCCUAUAAACCUGUAGUGCAUACACUCUGUUGUAUGUUCUUCCUCUGUUCGAAAAUUCCACUCACGCAAGCAAGAAGUAUUUCACUACCUUACUCCAGUAAUUCAGUGCAUACAUUUGUUGCUCGUCGUGAUUGCAACCUGAACAGAGUAACAAAAUUGUCAGUUUGGCGCAUGGAUGGAUCAAUGGAAAAACAUUGUCACAUUGGCAUGCAUAGGUGUUCUAAAACUGUAAAAAAAAAUAGCAUCUACAUCUACACACACACAAGGAACAAUUGCAGAGAAACAUAUUGA